CCUUUAAAAAUUCAUCUUUUUGCACGAUUAAAAAUUGAGGUGACUGAUAGAAUAACUAAACAGUGACACAUGACAUACUAUGUAUAUCUCAUGUUGACGUACAAGAACUAAUUUUUAACAGUAAAAAUGUAUGAAAUUUUUAAUA
rnacentral:pre_miRNA from 1 species